rnacentral:lncRNA from 1 species
UUUGCUAAAUAUGUAUAUAGAAUCAACUGUUAUUCAGAAAACAAUGGUUGCUACAAAUGUUGCAUGUAAGAAUAAAUAAAAAUAAAACAUGAGCCCUCAGUGAUGUUUCUAUAUCAAAGAGGUUUCUUCUAUGUGUAUAUUCUUCCGUGUGUGUGGUGUAUUGUCACGUUAUGUACAUGAAGCAGAUUUUAAACAGUAGUACUUUCCAUUUACUUGCAUAAUAGCUAAAUAAAUUGUAUUUCAUAUAGACAAACCGCAUGUCUGAAAUAUUUCUUUUGAACAUUUUGACGCUGAAGUGAGCGUUACUAUGUAAAUGAGACAAUACAAUAUAUAUAUAUUUUUUUUGUGUACAGGAAUCCGAACAACUGGAUGAAAGAUGAUGGCGGUUCGUUCAGUCUCAUAUCAUGUAAAUGUUCCUGAUCUGCCAAACGUCAAAGAAAGAUGAGGAAAAGAAUUUUCGCUAUGACGUUUGCCUAAAGAGGAAGCUUCAGUAAAGUGUCAAGGAACAGAAGACUGCUCUGUAAGUCCUCACAGUGUUAUUUGUAUUAUUAAGGUUUUACUCCAUAUGUCUGUCAUUUUAGCUACAUUUAGGUCCCACGGUUAAGGUAUUUUAGCCCAGCAAAUGUAGUAAUCAGUAAACGGCAUGAAAUGGAAGUUUUGUCAAAAUAAUUGAUUUAGAAUUUCUGCAGUUCUCCACAGUUUUACAAAAGGUAAAGAA